GGGUUGUGAGGUUAAGCGACUAAGCGUACACGGUGGAUGCCCUGGCAGUCAGAGGCGAUGAAGGACGUGCUAAUCUGCGAAAAGCGUCGGUAAGGUGAUAUGAACCGUUAUAGCCGGCGAUGUCCGAAUGGGGAAACCCAGUGCAAUUCGUUGCACUAUCGUUUGAUGAAUACAUAGUCAAACGAGGCGAACCGGGGGAACUGAAACAUCUAAGUACCCCGAGGAAAAGAAAUCAACCGAGAUUCCCCCAGUAGCGGCGAGCGAACGGGGAGCAGCCCGGAGUCUGAAUCAGCUUGUGUGUUAGUGGAAGCGUCUGGAAAGUCGCAGGGUACAGGGUGAUACUCCCGUACACUAAAACACACAGGUUGUGAACUCGAAGAGUAGGGCGGGACACGUGGUAUCCUGUCUGAAUAUGGGGGGACCAUCCUCCAAGGCUAAAUACUCCUGACUGACCGAUAGUGAACCAGUACCGUGAGGGAAAGGCGAAAAGAACCCCGGCGAGGGGAGUGAAAAAGAACCUGAAACCGUGUACGUACAAGCAGUAGGAGCCCACUUGUUGGGUGACUGCGUACCUUUUGUAUAAUGGGUCAGCGACUUAUAUUCUGUAGCAAGGUUAACCGUAUAGGGGAGCCGCAGGGAAACCGAGUCUUAACUGGGCGUUAAGUUGCAGGGUAUAGACCCGAAACCCGGUGAUCUAGCCAUGGGCAGGUUGAAGGUUGGGUAACACUAACUGGAGGACCGAACCGACUAAUGUUGAAAAAUUAGCGGAUGACUUGUGGCUGGGGGUGAAAGGCCAAUCAAACCGGGAGAUAGCUGGUUCUCCCCGAAAGCUAUUUAGGUAGCGCCUCGUGAACUCAUCUUCGGGGGUAGAGCACUGUUUCGGCUAGGGGGUCAUCCCGACUUACCAACCCGAUGCAAACUACGAAUACCGAAGAAUGUUAUCACGGGAGACACACGGCGGGUGCUAACGUCCGUCGUGAAGAGGGAAACAACCCAGACCGCCAGCUAAGGUCCCAAAGUCAUGGUUAAGUGGGAAACGAUGUGGGAAGGCCCAGACAGCCAGGAUGUUGGCUUAGAAGCAGCCAUCAUUUAAAGAAAGCGUAAUAGCUCACUGGUCGAGUCGGCCUGCGCGGAAGAUGUAACGGGGCUAAACCAUGCACCGAAGCUGCGGCAGCGACACUAUGUGUUGUUGGGUAGGGGAGCGUUCUGUAAGCCGUUGAAGGUGGCCUGUGAGGGUUGCUGGAGGUAUCAGAAGUGCGAAUGCUGACAUAAGUAACGAUAAUGCGGGUGAAAAACCCGCACGCCGGAAGACCAAGGGUUCCUGUCCAACGUUAAUCGGGGCAGGGUGAGUCGACCCCUAAGGCGAGGCCGAGAGGCGUAGUCGAUGGGAAACAGGUUAAUAUUCCUGUACUCGGUGUUACUGCGAAGGGGGGACGGAGAAGGCUAUGUUGGCCGGGCGACGGUUGUCCCGGUUUAAGCAUGUAGGCGGAUGUUCCAGGUAAAUCCGGAACGUCACUAACGCUGAGGUGUGAUGACGAGGCACUACGGUGCUGAAGUGACAAAUGCCCUGCUUCCAGGAAAAGCCUCUAAGCAUCAGGUAACAUCAAAUCGUACCCCAAACCGACACAGGUGGUCAGGUAGAGAAUACCAAGGCGCUUGAGAGAACUCGGGUGAAGGAACUAGGCAAAAUGGUGCCGUAACUUCGGGAGAAGGCACGCUGAUGGUAGGUGAAGCGACUUGCUCGUGGAGCUGAAAUCAGUCGAAGAUACCAGCUGGCUGCAACUGUUUAUUAAAAACACAGCACUGUGCAAACACGAAAGUGGACGUAUACGGUGUGACGCCUGCCCGGUGCCGGAAGGUUAAUUGAUGGGGUUAUCCGUAAGGAGAAGCUCUUGAUCGAAGCCCCGGUAAACGGCGGCCGUAACUAUAACGGUCCUAAGGUAGCGAAAUUCCUUGUCGGGUAAGUUCCGACCUGCACGAAUGGCGUAAUGAUGGCCAGGCUGUCUCCACCCGAGACUCAGUGAAAUUGAACUCGCUGUGAAGAUGCAGUGUACCCGCGGCAAGACGGAAAGACCCCGUGAACCUUUACUAUAGCUUGACACUGAACACUGGUCCUUGAUGUGUAGGAUAGGUGGGAGGCUUUGAAGUGUGGACGCCAGUCUGCAUGGAGCCAUCCUUGAAAUACCACCCUUUAAUGGCUGGUGUUCUAACGUGGGCCCCUGAUCGGGGUUGCGGACAGUGUCUGGUGGGUAGUUUGACUGGGGCGGUCUCCUCCUAAAGAGUAACGGAGGAGCACGAAGGUCAGCUAAUCCUGGUCGGACAUCAGGAGGUUAGUGCAAUGGCAUAAGCUGGCUUGACUGCGAGCGUGACGGCGCGAGCAGGUGCGAAAGCAGGUCAUAGUGAUCCGGUGGUUCUGAAUGGAAGGGCCAUCGCUCAACGGAUAAAAGGUACUCCGGGGAUAACAGGCUGAUACCGCCCAAGAGU
rnacentral:rRNA from 1 species